AAUAGUAAUAAUCUGUUUAUUUAUACGAGCAUAUAUACAAAUAAAAAUCGAAAUCAACUCGUUUAAGUGUAAAAGGUCGAGAGCGGUAUGUUUUUCUGGUCGACGGACUCCCGCGGACGAAAAAAAAAAAAAAACAUUAUCGUCUAAUACGUACACAAACGUUACGCGCACGCAAAUAACACGCCGUCGCAGUUGCGUGUACGGUUAAACAAUAUGUUGUGUUUUUUUUUUUUUUUAACGAGACUGAUAGUGCAAUGUUAUGAAUUGUAAAUAUAAUACCCGGGGAUAAAAAAUGAUAACAAUAAUAAUAUCGCCGGACGGACUGUUGCUCGACGACGAUCGCUCGGCGAACCGACAGCGAAAUAACGAUCCAUGUUGAGAUGAGAAAUCGUCGUAAACCGCGAUUCGCCUAAUAGACGUUAUUGUAAAAAAAAAAAAAACAAUACAAGUUCUGAUCCGGGGGGAUCGCGCGACGUUGCCGUUAUCGUUCGCUACCCCGCGAGUAAUUUUUUUUUUUUUUACUUUUUUAAUUUUCCCGCUCUUUGUCAUAGUGCAACGCGCGAUCGUAUCGGUGAACUCGCGACUUAUAUUCCUACCCGUUUUGUGUGGUGUUCGUCCGCUCGAUUAUUCUACUAACCAGCAGCAACUGACCGGCAUCCACCGGUCCGCCGACUAACGGAUUGGAUUGGGACCACAACCGCACAGAAAAUUAUUCGCAAACAAACGCCGUGCGUGCCCUGCGGUGUCACGAGAAGUGUGCAUGUUUUUUUUUUUCAUUUUUAAUUUUUCGUUUCGCCGUUCAGCGUUUUAUUUACUUACGCGUCAUUGCGUCGCGCAUAAAGGCCCGGGCGCAUAUUUUCGAGACGCGUCGGCCGCCGCUGCACUAUAACAACAACAUCGGCGUAUAUUCACGCCACCGACAAGAAGAAGCGAGGACAGAUGUAUGGGUACUAAAAUAAAUAUACGAACGCGAUUUUUUUUUUUUUUUUUGAAAUAAAAAAUAAAUUAUUUAUUU